rnacentral:rRNA from 1 species
UAACAGGUGACGGGGAAUCAGGGUUCGAUUCCGGAGAGGGAGCCUGAGAAACGGCUACCACAUCCAAGGAAGGCAGCAGGCACGCAAAUUACCCACUCUCAGAACGAGGAGGUAGUGACGAAAAAUAACAAUACGGGACUAUUAAUAGGCCCCGUAAUUGGAAUGAGUACAAUAUAAAUCCUUUAACGAGGAUCUAUUGGAGGGCAAGUCUGGUGCCAGCAGCCGCGGUAAUUCCAGCUCCAAUAGCGUAUAUUAAAGUUGCUGCGUUUAAAAAGCUCGUAGUUGUAUCUCAGUUCAUGUCAAUUGGUCAAUCACUUAAUAGUGAUUACUUUUUGACUGAACAUUAAACCGAUUUGUUUUCUGAUGCUCUUUACCGAGUGUU